CCAUGUAGUCCAAACUGGCCUGCUGGGAUUAAAGUCUUGAACUACCAUGCCUGCCUCAGCUCUUCUUAAUAUACACAUCUUUCUUUUUGCCAUUUUGGUUGCUACCGACUAUUUUUUAGGACAAUUUCAACUACUCCCCAAUCUAGUUUUGUAACAAGCUUCUUUAACCUUCUCUCCUAUAAAGAGAAACUUUUGCUUCAGCCCAUUGCUUUAACUUUCCUUACCUUCAAAGAGUUCACUUACAUCUUCCCACCUCUGGUUUCCACUUUAAGUGGAAAGAAAGCACAGAUUUAUUGUAUUUGAAUUCUACUUUACUUUCUCAUGGUACUGGGGAUCAAACCCAGAGCCUCAAGAAUCCUAGGCAAAGGUUCUCCCAGUGAGCUACAUUCCCAGUCCUCUUCCUGAAUUUGAAAGGGAAAAGUAAUGUCUAAAUCUUAGGGAUACCCCAGCACCAAAUUUUUGGAUGCCUGUUAGCACCAACAUUCCUUUUCUAACAUAAAUUGCUGAAUUGUACCAAAUGGUUAUGGAAGAGAUAAGAUCAAUUCUUUACACGUUUGUUCAAAAAGUACAACAAGAGCAAAAACUUCCCAAUUAGUCCUUAAACCAUAGCAUUACCCCAAUACAAACACAAAGUAUAGGAAAAGAGAACAGAUAUUUUUUCAUGAAAAGAGAUACAUAAAUCUGAAGACCCUAGUUAGCAAGACAGACUCCAUAUUGCUGCUGAAUGACCCACCUGCCUGCCCUUUAGAUGAACUCAAAAGGAGGAAGCUUAGAAACCUCCUCCACUUAGAGAGUCUCUUACAAACAACAAUUAAUCAACUAUUGUUUUACAAAUGU
rnacentral:lncRNA from 1 species